GCUGAACUCACACCUGACAUGGCGUUAAGUGUAACAACAAUGGCGGCCACACUAGUCCCCGCACAUCUAUCAUGAAAUAUUCUCGUGUUGGGGGUUCAGUCGGAAAGUUACCAUGAUGUUCUGGAACUCGGCAGCUCAGCGGGCCGGCGUUGUCCGGUCCUGGUGUCGAACCGCCGGCCUUAUCAGGCGCCGUCAGUCACUCUUCACCUCCGCCAAGUUGACCGGAGAAGACGUCGAGGUGAGGCGGACAUUGAGGGAGUGUUCCCUGGCGGUGAGCCCCUUCAGCACGGUGCGAGCGCGGCUGGCCUGCAGUAUAUCCAUCCAGCCUGUGGACCCGCAUGCCUUCCCUGAAGCCGACCGAGCCUUCGUCACUAUCCGCGGAGGAAAGGAGGAGGGUGUUGAUGACUUUGACGUCCAUUACGACGAACACGGCAAGGAGCUGCUCAUCUUGGCCGAGAGGGACGACAGCAGCCUGUCGGUUCAUGUGUCUGCUCCCAUUAAGAGUAAUAUCUUCAUUAACACCCGUGGGAAAGGCAACGUGGAGGUGAAGAAUAUGGAGUGUGACAUCUGCCAGGUGCACACAGAAAAAGGCGCAUGUUCACUGCACUCCGUCAAGGGUCAUCAAGUGGAGGUGCGCUCGGGUGGAGACGUCAGCGUGGGCAGCAUCCACGGCAACGUGGACAUCAGCGCUUCAGGAGACAGUGCGGUUCGUGUCAAGAAGCUGCAGGGCACCACCAUGAAGGUCUCCACGGAACGUGGCGGUCUGAAGGUCAAGGCCAUCUAUGCCGAGUCCAGCUGCGUCUCAUCCAGCACGGGGGACGUGGAACUGGGACUCGUACACGGGGACGCCUCAGUGAAGAACACAUCAGGGGACACACACAUAGACGGUUCAAAUGGCUCCUUGAAGGUUUCCUCUCAAACCGGGGGCAUUGACGUCUACGUGGGAGACGGAGGAAGCGCCGAGGUUCUCAGCCAGGCAGGAGCGGUGUGCAUACGCGUGCCGUCCUCGCUGAGAGCAGAGGUGGAGCUCAAUGGCGCGUCGGUGCACAUCGGCCGGGAUGUGACGUUGCAUCAGCUGCAGAGGAACACCACUGAGAGCCACACCCAAGUUACUGGCUACAUGAACACUGACAGUUCGGCGGUGCAAAGGAUCAAAGUGACGACUAAAAGUGGCUCGGUCAGCCUGAGGACACAAAGCUGGUUCGAGUCCCUGAAGCUGGGGGAUGAAACAAAAUGCCGUUGCAGUUGUUCAUGAUGACGGAAGACAACGGCGGGCAGAGCCUCUCCAUGUAUUUGAUGGCGCGGUCGGUGAAGAGGGAGCCGCUCACGUCCAGCUCCCGCAGGAACAAAUGGUUGUCAUGUCUUGGAUGUGAGAGGCGUGUGAACCUUACUUGUUUCCUAUCACGUUGACGGCUGAGUCUGUGAUCAGAGAGCAGUGACUCACACUCAGCUUCUGCAACUUGCACGCCCAGACGCUCUCGGCCAGGUGUUGGAUCCCUCUGUCCGUCACUCUGAAAGCAGGCAGGCGUCACCAACCCGUCACCCGCUCACAAUCCAUAGAAGGAGGGCGACACAGACUUGGUACAGAG